rnacentral:rRNA from 1 species
UAGGGAAUCUUCGGCAAUGGACGGAAGUCUGACCGAGCAACGCCGCGUGAGUGAAGAAGGUUUUCGGAUCGUAAAGCUCUGUUGUUAGAGAAGAACGUUGGUAGGAGUGGAAAAUCUACCAAGUGACGGUAACUAACCAGAAAGGGACGGCUAACUACGUGCCAGCAGCCGCGGUAAUACGUAGGUCCCGAGCGUUGUCCGGAUUUAUUGGGCGUAAAGCGAGCGCAGGCGGUUCUUUAAGUCUGAAGUUAAAGGCAGUGGCUUAACCAUAGUACGCUUUGGAAACUGAAGGACUUGAGUGCAGAAGGGGAGAGUGGAAUUCCAUGUGUAGCGGUUAAAUGCGUAGAUAUAUGGGGGAAAACCGGUGGCGAAAGCGGCUCUCUGGUCUGUAACUGACGCGGAGGCUCGAAAGCGUGGGGAGCAAACAGG